rnacentral:rRNA from 1 species
CCUACGGGGGGCAGCAGUGGGGAAUUUUGCGCAAUGCUCGUAAGAGUGACGCAGCGACGCCGCGUGAAUGACGAAGGCCUUCGGGUCGUAAAGUUCUUUCGACAGGGAAGAAAAUGCCUAUAAGUAACUGUGUAUGUAUUGACGGUACCUGUAUAAGCAGCCCCGGCUAACUCCGUGCCAGCAGCCGCGGUAAUACGGAGGGGGCGAGCGUUGUUCGGAGUGACUGGGCGUAAAGAGCACGUAGGCGGUGUUGUAAGUCAUUAGUCAAAGACUAGAGCUCAACUUUAGUAAGGCUAGUGAUACUAUAAUACUAGAGUAUCAGAGAGGAUUGCAGAAUUCCUGGUGUAGCGGUGAAAUGCGUAGAUAUCAGGAGGAAUACCGUUAGCGAAGGCGGCAAUCUGGCUGGAAACUGACGCUGAGGUGCGAAAGCGUGGGUAGC